UACGGGGGGGGUAAGCGUUGUUCGGAAUUACUGGGCGUAAAGGGCUCGUAGGUGGUCAACUAAGUCGGACGUGAAAUCCCUCGGCUUAACCGGGGAACUGCGUCCGAUACUGGAUGACUUGAGUUCGGGAGAGGGAUGCGGAAUUCCAGGUGUAGCGGUGAAAUGCGUAGAUAUCUGGAGGAACACCGGUGGCGAAGGCGGCAUCCUGGACCGACACUGACGCUGAGGAGCGAAAGCUAGGGGAGCAAACGGG
rnacentral:rRNA from 1 species